rnacentral:tRNA from 1 species
GAUGGUACAGCUCAGUGGUAGAGCACGUGCUUAGCAUGCACAAGGUCUUGGGUUCGGUCCCCAUUACCUGCA